UUUUGUACUUUUUAUAUUAUAGUUUCAGCCUUCGCUAUUGAUGCUGAGAAGGUAACAAGGCCCCAAAACAUCCCAUAAUUCAUCCCGUGUUGGCAGAUGACUGUCUUGCUGUAAGAGAGUGAACCAUGAGAGGAGGAAGAGCACGAGAAGGAGGCGGGAUGUGUGAGCACAUGAUCCCAACGGCAGACAACGACCACGGUGGGAAUCAUCGCUGCUCUCUUGAUAGCAGCACUAUGGAGAGAGGUGCUUCCAAUGGGAAAUGCUGCUAUGUAUUUGUACCGGAUGCUACAAUACCAUGUGUUUGUUUGUGUAUAUGUGUGGGGGCACACACACUAACAGGCAUGUGUGGGCUUCCCCCUAAAUACUGUAUCUGUGCUGGUGGGUCUCACAGAGAGGAGACUCAGGAGAACCCUGAGCCUCUCCACGGGCUCAACCAUAUGUCAGUGCAUGACCUCAGUAGACUGUGGACUUGUGCUUUGACCACGUGACCAGGACCGAUCUAAACCAGCGUGCUACGGCUUCAGCAUUGUGUCGUUACACUCGACAUCCCCCGAGGUGGUGGGUAAUAUAUCCACGAUAUAUGUUAUGAAGUUAAUGGGGAUCCAAAUAGAGAAUAAAAAAUAUGGUGUGUAAAUUAUUAUUCAUCCGUAAGUAUGUGGCUUUAGUUGGAAAUGUGGCAGGCAGCUAGCUAACCGCUAAGGCCGUAGAAAGCUGGGAACACGCGGGCCUCGUAUGUCACGGAAGCAUGCGUCUCUUAACUUUGGAUUGUGGGGUUUACUCCCCAACAGCAAGUUGGUGGGGCACAGUUCACCGAGCACGACCCCGCAGGCCCAAUCGCUCAUCCUACCGAAUCCAUUAGCACAAAUGAAUCAAAUGCUGCCAUGCCUUCUUGGCUGGCGCCAACGUGCCUUUACCCAGCAGUGAGGGCGAUGCGGUCCGCAGCAACAUUCAGCAUAGUGUGCGUUGACUUUCUGGGUUGACUAAAAGGGUUAGCAGCUAGCAGUUCAACUCCAAACCCCUGCUACUGGUGAAUGUUAAGAAGCCUUGAUGUAAUACAAUGGGAUGAGACAAGCUGAUGG
ensembl:lncRNA